rnacentral:ribozyme from 1 species
AAAAAUUAAAGCCUCCUUUUGCUCAUCACUGCCAACUGUGCGGAACUUGUAUUUUAAGAAUGGACCAUCACUGUCCGUGGAUUGGAACUUGUGUUGGAUUCAAAAACCAUCGAUUGUUCACCAUGUGGUUGUUCUAUCUCACCAUUCUCUGUCUUUAUGGGGUCAUUCUCUUCCUUCCCCCCUCUCUUCAAUGUCCUCUUUUGGGGAAGAGAAAGAGGGGCGGAGAAGAGGGAGGGGAGAAGAAAGUGUGUGAAUUUC